UCAAUUCAUAAUAUUUCUUAUAUCAUAAUUCUUCAUAAAUCAUAUUUCAUAUUCUAAUUUCGAUAAUAAAAUAUAUAAUCAUGUAAUAUCAAAAUCAAUCAAUAUAAUACAUCAUGGAAUCAAUAUGUUCAAUCAUGCUUCAUCAUAAUAUUUCAAAUAAGAUAUUUUCAUAACAAAAUACCAUUCAUCCAAUUCAUGCAUCAUUUCACAAAUCAUGUCAGAAAAAUAUAUUAUAAUUUACUGAUAAAUCGAGAAAAAAUGAAACAUUACUUACUUCGAAUGUAUUCCAAUAAAUCCACAUAAUUCUAUAAAAUUUUUUUCAAAAAUUAUGUUCGUAGAUCAUAUCGCGAUAUCCCAUGAUCAAACAUCCACAAUCCUAUAUAGAAUCAAUUUCAAUAAUUAGAAAGAAUACGAAU
rnacentral:lncRNA from 1 species